GAUAACUUGAACACAAAUCUGUAUUUCAUUGUAACAUUUCCAAAGACAUCCACAUUUACAAUAAGCAGCACUCUAGCUUUCACCCACUUUUUCCUCAUGUCUGUUGAAUAUAAAUAGGAGAGAUCUUUUUACACCAUGUUGCUUUUCACUCUGUCAAAGAUCUGUUGGACUUUCCCUGCGGGGACACAGCCUUCUCUUAAAAUGGUGAUGGUUCCUGUCCAAAGAGUAAAGCAAGCUUUAGUAAAAAGUUACCUUACAAAACAGAAAACAGUGAUUUUAAUCAGAACACAGUUGCAUUUACCUUCAUCAAUCUUCAAGCAGUUGACCACCGUGGAAGCAAUAACUUCAUUUGAGUCUCCGUCACACAGAACCCCUUGGAUCUUGUGUCCAAGUCGGCUGUGGAAAAAAUGGAAGGAAAGGGUAAAUGACUGAAUGAUUACUGGCUGUCUAAUAUGUUGCUAAAGGAUGAUCAAUAAACAGAUCAUUCUGCUUCAGUAAUCGUUUUUUGUAGUUUAUGCAUCUCCCCAAGUGGGACCACUAUGCUGUUACUGAUGGAUCAGUGAAAUAACAGGAUACACAGGAUUAAGAGGUACUCACUUGAUGACCAUGCUGUGGUGGGUGCUGUCUGACUCUCCACUUGGAUUGGCCGAGGUUAUAGCAAGGGGUCCCGUGAUGUCACACAGGUGCCCUGUCACCGUGUGGUCAGGGACACGGAUCAUGAUGCUGUCCCUGGUGCCAACACGGUCAUAAGCUGGUCCCACUCCUGCACAAGAGGACCCAGAAGUCUGAAGAGCCAGUCUCCUUUGCUGACAAUACAGCUGAUGCCUCCUGGAUACACAUUCCUCAUGAACUCCCACAGCAGAGGACUGAAGGGAGGCUUGGCUGCCACCAGCUGCUCCACAUUAGAAAUGCAGAUACAGAUGGGCUUCUCUGCUGGUCUGUCCUGGAAGAAUUCACAGAUAACAGAUCUUCUCAAUAGCUUGAGGAUUCUUGCAGGAGGCAGCCAGAGCAUACACAGUGUCUGUGGGAAUACCACACACUCCUCCCUGCUCCAGAAGGCCAGCGAUCUUUAGGAGACCACUGGAGAGUUGUGAAUCAGCCACAGGGCAGGGCAGCUCAGGGGCAGUGUCCUGCUUCUUAUCCUCCUGAAAUAGGCCAUGUUUUCAUUAAAUAUACAUAAUACAAAAACAAGCAUACCGGAUUGAAGUAUGGAAUUAUCAGAGGAGUGAAAAGAUUCUCCAGAAAGGUCACCUUUAUUAAAGGAGGGCCCAUAGGCAGCAGCCUCUGUGAGAGAAUGCAAU